AUGUGGCUCAGGCCUGGCACCAGGGGUGAAUCCUAUUUCCCUCAAGGGACAGUAGUAGUUUAUGCAAGAUUCACGUGCAGCAGAAACAAGGUGAGAGAAUGUUGCUCAUAUCACAGCUUAGUUUCUGGUGGCUUUCCCAGAGGAGGACCAAGAUGGAGUAUCUGUGCAUUCACUGGCAUGGAGAACAUUCAGUAUUGCUGUGAGAGAAUGCAGCUGAAGGAACAUCCCUCGGAUUUCCUCUCUGUGCCUGAUUUCCUGGCUGGUUUUAGGAACAGCUGCAAAUGCCUGGAGUACAUUUGAUGCAGGUUUGCAGUAGGAGCCAGGCCAGUUUUCCAACAUCCUGCUGCAUGUUGAACCCAGAAGGGGCUGAGAACAGCAAGAGCCACACAUGGACAUUGCUGGACGCUUUCUCACCCAUGCCAGCCACACCCUGGAAGCAAAUGUAAGUGGGUGCCACCCAGAGCCCUACCUGUAUUUCCCACCCUUUGCUGCCCACUGCCCAUUUCUGUCCUGCUGCUUGUAGCUGGUAGUGUGUGCAAGACUCUUUCUUGUGUUGCUCUUUUAUUCUCUGGGUUUGUGUGCCAAGUGCUGAUGUGUUUUGCCCAAGCCCUGAUGUCUGAAGCUCUGCUGUACCUGGUGGCAUUCCCAUGUCACUGGUGAUGUACACAGCAACUGCCUUUGGCACAAAAAUUGCUUCUCUCUGCAUGAAACUGCAGUAAAACGUGACACCUGAAAGUACUGUGGUCUGUGCAAAACAGAGGGCUAAUGGAAAAGCAUUCCCAAAACAGAGGGUAGACAAAAGUUCAUAUCCAGGAAGAGGAACGAUGAUGACUCUUGCUUCUAUCUGCAAUACAUGAUGGAAGUGUACAGAAAAAGGGUUAAGGGAAGCAGGCUGGAUUCAGCAGGCUGGAAAUGUGGGCAGGGCAUAUGGGUGAAAUGUCCUCCUGGUAUUUUCUGUGAAAAUCUCCUCUCGAGCCUCUCAAGAGAAUGACUUCAGGGAAAUGCUUGAUUAACAGCUCCUGACGUUUCCACCACCACCUUUCACUUCUAGCGUGGGAGGCUCAGGUGUUUCUGGAUAAGACUGCAGAGUUUUCAGAAAUUUAGUAUACUGGGACAGCAGAGACACAGAAGAGACUUGAAAAAGAAUCCUUGAUAUAUCUGGCCCCUUGGAAAGAACUUGUGGGAAAAGGAAUCAUUAAGCCUGUAUUGAAAUAAACCCAGCAUCUGGUACCA
rnacentral:lncRNA from 1 species